UUUCUGCAGGAUUCCUCCUUGAUGCGAGAUUGCAUCCUCGAAACUAAAUUUGGGCCAGUUGGGAUCACAUCAAAAGCUUUUGGUACUAAUCGAUUCCAUGAAUUACUAAGCAAGUUGGGUAUUUCCAAUCUUCAUGCUUCAACUUGAGGGGGAGUAUUAGAGAAAUAAAUGGAGAAAGUUUGGGCAAGUGAUUUUUGAAAAGGAUCACUAUAACAUAACACAACAUCUGGUGUAUAUUUUCUUACCUAUUUUAAUGCCUUGAUCAUGUUUCCUUUAUUAUUUGAUUUACUCCUUUCGUACCAUAUCAGAUACAAAAU
rnacentral:lncRNA from 1 species